rnacentral:rRNA from 1 species
UCCUCCAAGGCUAAAUACUCCUGACUGACCGAUAGUGAACCAGUACCGUGAGGGAAAGGCGAAAAGAACCCCGGCGAGGGGAGUGAAAAAGAACCUGAAACCGUGUACGUACAAGCAGUGGGAGCACCCUUUGGGGUGUGACUGCGUACCUUUUGUAUAAUGGGUCAGCGACUUAUAUUCUGUAGCAAGGUUAACCGUAUAGGGGAGCCGGAGGGAAACCGAGUCUUAAUUGGGCGUUAAGUUGCAGGGUAUAGACCCGAAACCCGGUGAUCUAGCCAUGGGCAGGUUGAAGGUUGGGUAACACUAACUGGAGGACCGAACCGACUAAUGUUGAAAAAUUAGCGGAUGACCUGUGGCU